GGGAAUGUGGCUUAGUGGUAGAGUGCUUGCCUCGCAUGCAUGAAGCCACCAUCAUUUCCC
rnacentral:tRNA from 1 species